AAAGUCGUAACAAGGUUUCCGUAGGUGAACCUGCGGAAGGAUCAUUAGUGAAUGCCCUUUGGGGCUUAUCCGACCAACCUCUGUGAACCGUGGCCUUCGGGCCUUUACAAACAUUGAACGUAAAGAACGUAGCAAACCUAUAACAAAACAAAACUUUCAACAACGGAUCUCUUGGCUCUC
rnacentral:misc_RNA from 1 species